GGAGUCGGACAGGCUGUCGCCGCGGCGCGUGCGCCGGGGAGGAAAGUCCGGGCUCCGCAGGGCAGGACGCUGGGUAACUCCCAGCGGGAGUGAUCCCGGGAAAGUGCAACAGAGAGCAGACCGCCUGCCUUCGGGCAGGUAAGGGUGAAAGGGUGGUGUAAGAGACCACCGGCGGG
rnacentral:RNase_P_RNA from 1 species